ensembl:lncRNA
ACAGACGGAUGAACAGAUUAUUUCGACUUCAGACCUUGAGGCAGGAUUGUUUUCUGCAUUUUAAAGGCGCAGGGUGGAGAUGUUGAGGCGAAGGGGCUCAGCAGAAGAGUAUUCUCGGCUCCGAUCUCUUGCGUUACACAGCAGAGCAGCGUGCUCUCAACCAGCCGCUCGGGCUUCCUACAAGAAUGCAGGCCGACAGCCAGAGCAGACCCUGAUCGAUACCAGCGGAGACGCACCUGAGAGGCCGAGGCACCGACAGCUGGUUUCCAUUCCGCCGGAGGGUUAAAUCGUGGCGAGGGACGACUUACUUGUUCGACCUCCUCGAAUUGCACCCACAGGACGAACGCGUUUGAUACGGAAAACGUGGUUUAAAAAGUUGCAUAACGCGAUGUACGCAGGAGGAUAUAUUCGCACAACCACAACAUCUGGCUCAUCGGGCUCACGCAACACACUGGGGCAGGAAGUGGAUUAAGAGCGCCGGCUGGCCCAUUGACGACGAGCGCAGUUGGAAUAUCUGUAAUCGGCACGGCCAAAGAUCUAAUGGAGAUCGUGGCAGCCCCCAGUCCUCCCACAACAGGAAGCUGUUGCAGUGACAAGUCCCCCCCAAAAAGAUCAGAGUUUAUUUGGCACAUUGACUCCGUCAGAGGAUCUGGGCUCAGAAGUUCUGACUCCGAGACGCCAUGUCACAGCACACUAUGACCACAUGUGCACACUGUAGUAGCGUGUGGUGUUCCCCUCGGAUUGUUUGGGAGCGUUUCUGGGUUUUGGAGUUGCCGUGUUUCCUGAGGCCUUGUCUCCUGGCACAUGAUGGCACCGUAGCUGAAAUGAACCACGUGAGAGCUCAAAGGAUUAUAUUCCUUCUGUCGCUCACGUUGUAGAUGGGCGGGAGAAGCUCGACUUAUGGGGAUAAUUCUUUUCCAAUUUGAAUGCAGCAAAGUUGCUCUGCACAGGCUCACACAAAGAAAGAAAAGGUCUGUGAAGAUUCCAACACCGUGUUAACGUGACUGAGAUCGUUACGUUAUCUUUGAACAGCUGUAGCAUAUCUAGGUUAUUUGCCAGGUCCAGACUGGCUCAACUUUUAUUGGAGCACAGAUCGAAAUGGGGCGGGACUUUGGACAGG